rnacentral:misc_RNA from 1 species
UAAGGUUUACUACGCAUAUUGGGGAAAGUUCUUGGCCUAUCUUGAUAAGGUCCCAAAUUACCACCCUCAACAUCAUCAUCAUCCAUCAUCAUUGUAUGGGAGGAAUUCACCCUUCGGGUUACAGGAAAAGAGAUGUAGUCGUUGCCUUGGGACAGGUCGCCCCCUGAACUGGGUCGAUGAAUUUUGAUUGCUCUAAGUUGUCAAGUGAAAUCACUAGUGCUUCAAUUGAAGAUAUAAGAAAUCACCAAAUUUCUUCUGAUGAGCUAGAGAACCAAAAGCUAAGCCACAAAAAAUAUAGAUUUCCCACC